GCAGGCCUAAUACAUGCAAGUCGGACGGGAUUGGAGAGCUUGCUUUCCAUGAGAGUGGCGCACGGGUGCGUAACACGUAUGUAACCUGCCCUUGUCAGGGGGAUAGCCUCUCGAAAGAGAGAUUAAGCCCGCAUAACAUCACAUUGCAGCAUUGCAGAGUGAUCAAAUAUUUAUAGGACGAGGAUGGGCAUGCGGAACAUUAGCUAGUUGGUAAGGUAAUGGCUUACCAAGGCUACGAUGUUUAGGGGAUCUGAGAGGAUGACCCCCCACACUGGUACUGAGACACGGACCAGACUCCUACGGGAGGCAGCAGUAAGGAAUAUUGGUCAAUGGGCGGAAGCCUGAACCAGCCAUGCCGCGUGCAGGAAGACGGCCCUACGGGUUGUAAACUGCUUUUGCAGGGGAAUAAACCCCCGGAUGUAUCCGGGGUUGAAUGUACUCUGAGAAUAAGGAUCGGCUAACUCCGUGCCAGCAGCCGCGGUAAUACGGAGGAUCCAAGCGUUAUCCGGAUUUAUUGGGUUUAAAGGGUGCGUAGGCGGCUUAUUAAGUCAGGGGUGAAAGACGGUAGCUUAACUAUCGCAGUGCCUUUGAUACUGAUGAGCUUGAAUGUACUUGAGGUAGGCGGAAUGUGACAAGUAGCGGUGAAAUGCAUAGAUAUGUCACAGAACACCAAUUGCGAAGGCAGCUUACUAAAGUACGAUUGACGCUGAGGCACGAAAGCGUGGGG
rnacentral:rRNA from 1 species